CCGCUUGGGGAUAGCCCGUGUCCUAUCAGCUUGUUGGUGAGGUAAUGGCUCACCAAGGCUUACGGCUAGCUGGUCUGAGAGGAUGGUCAGCCACACUGGGACUGAGACACUGCCCAGACUCCUACGGGAGGCUGCUUGUCUAGAAUCAUUGUCAAUGCGCGAAAGCGGUGAACAUGCGACGCCGCGUGGAAGAUUAAAGCCUUCGGGUUGUAAACUCCUUGUAUCAGUUAGCAAUCAUCGGUGGGUGAAUACCCCAUCGGCCUUGAUCGUACCUGAACAGUAAGCCCCGGCUAACUCUGUGCCAGCAGCCGCGGUAAUACAGAGGUGGCAAGCGUUGUUCGGAUUUACUGGGCGUAAAGGGUGCGUAGGCGGUUGCGUGUGUCGGAUGUGAAAUCUCACUGUUCAUCGGUGAAACUGCAUUCGAAACUACGUAACUCGAGUACUGGAGAGGAGAGCGGAAUUCUUGGUGUAGCGGUGAAAUGCGUUGAGAUCAAGAAGAACGCCGGUGGCGAAGGCGGCUCUCUGGACAGAAACUGACGCUGAGGCACGAAAGCUAGGGGAGCAAACAGGAUUAGAUACCCUGGUAGUCCUAGCCGUAAACGUUGUGCACUUGGUGUGGGAGGAGUUUACCCCUUCCGUGCCGUAGCUAACGUGUUAAGUGCACCGCCUGGGGAGUACGGCCGCAAGGCUAAAACUCAAAGAAAUUGACGGGGGCCCGCACAAGCGGUGGAGCAUGUGGCUUAAUUCGAUGCAACGCGAAGAACCUUACCUGGGCUUGACAUGGCGAGACUUCGGUCUAAACCGGUGAAAGUCGGUUGAACGCACACAGGUGCUGCAUGGCUGUCGUCAGCUCGUGCCGUGAGGUGUUGGGUUAAGUCCCGCAACGAGCGCAACCCUUGUGGGUAGUUGCCACCCCCGUUCUGCGGGGAGCACUCUACUCAGACUGCCCGUGACAAGCGGGAGGAAGGUGGGGAUGACGUCAAGUCCGUAUGGCCCUUAUGCCCAGGGCUGCACACGUGCUACAAUGGUCGGUACAGAAAGAUGCAAGACCGCGAGGUGGAGCAAAUCUCCAAAACCGGCCCCAGUUCGGAUUGCAGUCUGCAACUCGACUGCAUGAAGCCGGAAUCGCUAGUAACGGCGUAUCAGCUACGACGCCGUGAAUACGUCCCGGGCC
rnacentral:rRNA from 1 species